UGGGGAAUUUUGGACAAUGGGCGAAAGCCUGAUCCAGCAAUGCCGCGUGUGUGAAGAAGGCCUUCGGGUUGUAAAGCACUUUUGUCCGGAAAGAAAUCCUUGGCUCUAAUACAGUCGGGGGAUGACGGUACCGGAAGAAUAAGCACCGGCCAACUACGUGCCAGCAGCCGCGGUAAUACGUAGGGUGCAAGCGUUAAUCGGAAUUACUGGGCGUAAAGCGUGCGCAGGCGGUUUGCUAAGACCGAUGUGAAAUCCCCGGGCUCAACCUGGGAACUGCAUUGGUGACUGGCAGGCUAGAGUAUGGCAGAGGGGGGUAGAAUUCCACGUGUAGCAGUGAAAUGCGUAGAGAUGUGGAGGAAUACCGAUGGCGAAGGCAGCCCCCUGGGCCAAUACUGACGCUCAUGCACGAAAGCGUGGGGAGCAAACAGGAUUAGAUACCCUGGUAGUCCACGCCCUAAACGAUGUCAACUAGUUGUUGGGGAUUCAUUUCCUUAGUAACGUAGCUAACGCGUGAAGUUGACCGCCUGGGGAGUACGGUCGCAAGAUUAAAACUUAAAGGAAUUGACGGGGUCAUAGCUGUUUCCU
rnacentral:rRNA from 1 species